CCUACGGGUGCUGCAGUGGGGAAUAUUGGACAAUGGGCGAAAGCCUGAUCCAGCCAUGCCGCGUGUGUGAAGAAGGCCUUCGGGUUGUAAAGCACUUUCAGUGGGGAAGAAAGCCUUGGGGCUAAUACCCUCGAGGAAGGACAUCACCCACAGAAGAAGCACCGGCUAACUCCGUGCCAGCAGCCGCGGUAAUACGGAGGGUGCGAGCGUUAAUCGGAAUUACUGGGCGUAAAGCGCGCGUAGGCGGUCUGAUAAGCCGGUUGUGAAAGCCCCGGGCUCAACCUGGGAACGGCAUCCGGAACUGUCAGGCUAGAGUGCAGGAGAGGAAGGUAGAAUUCCCGGUGUAGCGGUGAAAUGCGUAGAGAUCGGGAGGAAUACCAGUGGCGAAGGCGGCCUUCUGGACUGACACUGACGCUGAGGUGCGAAAGCGUGGGUAGCAAACAGGAUUAGAUACCCCGGUAGCC
rnacentral:rRNA from 1 species